rnacentral:rRNA from 1 species
AACGAACGCUGGCGGCAUGCCUAACACAUGCAAGUCGAACGAGACCUUCGGGUCUAGUGGCGCACGGGUGCGUAACGCGUGGGAACCUGCCCUUAGGUUCGGAAUAACUCCCCGAAAGGGGUGCUAAUACCGGAUAAUGUCUUCGGACCAAAGAUUUAUCGCCUUUGGAUGGGCCCGCGUUGGAUUAGCUAGUUGGUAGGGUAAAAGCCUACCAAGGCGACGAUCCAUAGCUGGUCUGAGAGGAUGAUCAGCCACACUGGGACUGAGACACGGCCCAGACUCCUACGGGAGGCAGCAGUGGGGAAUAUUGGACAAUGGGUGAAAGCCUGAUCCAGCAAUGCCGCGUGAGUGAUGAAGGACUUAGGGUUGUAAAGCUCUUUUACCCGGGAUGAUAGUGACAGUACCGGGAGAAUAAGCUCCGGCUAACUCCGUG